rnacentral:rRNA from 1 species
UGGGGGAUAUUGCACAAUGGGCGAAAGCCUGAUGCAGCGACGCCGCGUGGGGGAUGAAGGCCUUCGGGUUGUAAACUUCUUUUGCUCUGAACAAGGCAUGCCUUUGGGGUGUGUUGAGUGUAGGGGUUGAUUAGCGCCGGCUAACUACGUGCCAGCAGCCGCGGUAAUACGUAGGGCGCGAGCGUUGUCCGGAUUUAUUGGGCGUAAAGGGCUUGUAGGUGGCUGGUUGCGUCUGUCGUGAAAGCUCAUGGCUUAACUGUGGGUUUGCGGUGGGUACGGGCUGGCUUGAGUGCAGUAGGGGAGGCUGGAAUUCCUGGUGUAGCGGUGGAAUGCGCAGAUAUCAGGAGGAAUACCGGUGGCGAAGGCGGGUCUCUGGGCUGUUACUGACGCUGAGGAGCGAAAGCGUGGGGAGCGAACAGG